rnacentral:rRNA from 1 species
AGUGAACGCUGGCGGUAGGCCUAACACAUGCAAGUCGAACGGCAGCACAGUAAGAGCUUGCUCUUACGGGUGGCGAGUGGCGGACGGGUGAGGAAUACAUCGGAAUCUACUUUUUCGUGGGGGAUAACGUAGGGAAACUUACGCUAAUACCGCAUACGACCUACGGGUGAAAGCAGGGGAUCUUCGGACCUUGCCCGAUUGAAUGAGCCGAUGUCGGAUUAGCUAGUCGGCGGGGUAAAGGCCCACCAAGGCGACGAUCCGUAGCUGGUCUGAGAGGAUGAUCAGCCACACUGGAACUGAGACACGGUCCAGACUCCUACGGGAGGCAGCAGUGGGGAAUAUUGGCCAAUGGGCGAAAGCCUGAUCCAGCCAUACCGCGUAGGUGAAGAAGGCCUUCGGGUUGUAAAGCCGUUUUGUUGGGAAAGAAAAGCAGCAGGUUAAUACCCCGCUGUUCUGACGGUACCCAAAGAAUAAGCACCGGCUAACUUCGUG